rnacentral:rRNA from 1 species
UACGUAGGGAGCAAGCGUUUGUCCGGAAUCAUUGGGCGUAAAGCGCGCGUAGGCGGCCCUGUAAGUCCGUUGUGAAAGUCAAAGGCUCAACCUUUGAAAGCCGAUGGAUACUGCAGGGCUAGAGUCCGGAAGAGGCGAGUGGAAUUCCUGGUGUAGCGGUGGAAUGCGCAGAUAUUCGGCAAGAACACCAGUGGCGAAGGCGGCUCACUGGCCCGGUACUGACGCUGAGGUGCGAAAGCGUGGGGAGCAAACAGG